rnacentral:rRNA from 1 species
UACAGAGGGUGCGAGCGUUACUCGGAAUUACUGGGCGUAAAGCGCGCGUAGGCGGCUCUGCAAGUCGGGUGUGAAAUCCCCAGGCUUAACCUGGGAACUGCAUUCGAGACUGCAUUGCUAGAGUAUGGGAGAGGGAAGUGGAAUUUCCGGUGUAGCGGUGAAAUGCGUAGAUAUCGGAAGGAACAUCAGUGGCGAAAGCGACUUCCUGGACCAAUACUGACGCUCAUGUGCGAAAGCGUGGGGAGCAAACAGG